AAAUCUGGCUCUUUCAGAGUCCGAGUUGUAAUUUGAAGAAGGUAUCUUUGGGUCUGGCUCUUGUCUAUGUUUCUUGGAACAGAACGUCACAGAGGGUGAGAAUCCCGUGCGAUGAGAUGAUCCAGGCCUAUGUAAAGUUCCUUCGAAGAGUCGAGUUGUUUGGGAAUGCAGCUCUAAGUGGGUGGUAAAUUCCAUCUAAAGCUAAAUAUUGGCGAGAGACCGAUAGCGAACAAGUACAGUGAUGGAAAGAUGAAAAGAACUUUGAAAAGAGAGUGAAAAAGUACGUGAAAUUGUUGAAAGGGAAGGGCUUGAGAUCAGACUUGGUAUUUUGUAUGUUACUUCUUCGGGGGUGGCCUCUACAGUUUAUCGGGCCAGCAUCAGUUUGGGCGGUAGGAGAAUUGCGUUGGAAUGUGGCACGGCUUCGGUUGUGUGUUAUAGCCUUCGUCGAUACUGCCAGCCUAGACUGAGGACUGCGGUUUAUACCUAGGAUGUUGGCAUAAUGAUCUUAAGUCGCCCGUCUU
rnacentral:rRNA from 1 species